rnacentral:rRNA from 1 species
GACAGAGGGUGCAAACGUUGUUCGGAAUUACUGGGCGUAAAGCGCGUGUAGGCGGCUCGGCAAGUCGGGUGUGAAAGCCCUGGGCUUAACCUAGGAAGUGCACUCGAAACUGCCAAGCUUGAGUUCUGGAGAGGAAGGCGGAAUUCUCGGUGUAGAGGUGAAAUUCGUAGAUAUCGAGAGGAACACCCGUGGCGAAGGCGGCUCUCUGGAACGCAACUGACGCUGAGACGCGAAAGCGUGGGGAGCAAACAGG